UGAUCUCGCUCCAAAGAUACUUAUACUCUCUUAAAGUUCUGUGGGUGGGGGAUGGGAAGGAAGAAGAGAGAUGGCCUUUAUACCUGACUCAGUGAUUAGUCCUCUUUGAUGGGAGCCCUCAAUUACCAGGGCAGUGUCCCUGGGGACUAACAAACCAAUGAUAAGAUAGUCAGACUAGCUAAAAGAAAAAUUCAAAUGCGCCCCAAAAAUCCAUGCGGCUCACCAAAGAGGUAAAAAACUUGGAGAAAAGUACCAUGGUUAUAUGUGAACUUUAGCAAGUGGCCCUAAACCCUUCCCAUCAAUUUCCUAUGGAGUAAAUUAGGGCACCUGCUUCAGAGGAUUACUGUUGUAACAUGGGGGUCCAUGGACCUUUGUAAUCAUGGGUUGAUUUAAGGAAGUCUGUAAAUUAGGUUGGGAAAAAUCAUACCUUAAUUUUCAGCGACCUCUAAUCUCUUUGGUAAUCCUAUGUAUUUUAUUUUAUGCAUUUAAAAACCUGAUUGUAAGAGGUGGGUCCAGAGGUUUCACUACAGAGGUCUAGGGCACAAAAACUGACCUCGUUAAAUAUAUAUUUUUUUUCCAGAUGACUCCAAAAUCUAUAUAGUUAGUCCUCAUCUCUCUCUUGAACGUCAACUCUGCAUCACCAAUUACCCUAUGGAUGUCUACCUGGAUGUCCCAAAGACAUUUCAAGCUGAACAAUCCACCAUCAGUGAGUUGCAAUGAAAGGAAUGACAAAAUCAACCGACUAGCAACAAGAAAGAUGAAGACUCAAGAAUUCCCUAUGUGGAUAGAUGUCCAGGCAGGGGAAAGUAAGGUAUUGGCUGCUUAAAAAUAACCAAUUACAGUUUCAGUUGCUUAUUCUUUAUAUCAAAAUAACAUGCAGCAAAAUUAAUAAUUAUGCAUACCAAUAGCUAUGCCAGAAAAUUUUAAAUUUAGUUAUAAUUCAAAUCUUCAUAUAUGUUUAUCCUUCAUUGUUUAUUAUUCAUGAUACAUGACUGUGAUCACUUUAAAAAAUUAGAUGGAACAUUUCAUGAAGUGCUCAUUCAUUCAUGUGCUAACAUUUAUUUCCUAAAGAGGUUGUAGAAAACGAUAACUCUUAUAGAAGACAUUGUGCCUCAUUGUUUGUAGGUAAAGAAGAUGCUUUUCCCCUCCAAGAGCAUAUUGUCUCUACCUUAUAUAAACUAAUGGUGGGAUCUGAGUCUCUAUUGUCUGCCUUUUCAAGUAACAACAGACCUUAGGAUAUAUUUCCUGGGAAGUUAAGAGGUGUCUAUAUGAAAACAAUAUCCUCAGAAUCAAGAUAUGGGACCUAUAUAUAACAUAUGGUCGAGUAUGAGUCAUAAUUGCUUUUUUUAAGUGAAAAACAAACUUCUCCAGCUGUGUCUUCUACAGAGCAAGUACAAUCACAGAAGGGUGAUAUGCUACAGAAACAGAAAAAAGUUUCACUUAGAGGCUUUGUUAUUGAUGCAAAAGUCAGAGAUACUAGUACUUGGUGUCAAGUUCUAAGGGGAAAAAUAAAUCAUAUUUCCUAUAAUUUUAAGAAAACCUG
rnacentral:lncRNA from 1 species